GGGGGGCUUACCAUGCAAGUCGAACGAUGAGAGGGAGCUUGCUCCCUGGAUUAGUGGCGAACGGGUGAGUAACACGUGAGUAACCUGCCCUUGACUCUGGGAUAAGCACUGGAAACUGUGUCUAAUACCGGAUACGAACUUCAGCCGCAUGGCUAGGAGUUGGAAAGAAUUUCGGUCAAGGAUGGACUCGCGGCCUAUCAGCUAGUUGGUGAGGUAAUGGCCCACCAAGGCGACGACGGGUAGCCGGCCUGAGAGGGUGACCGGCCACACUGGGACUGAGACACGGCCCAAACUCCUACGGGAGGCAGCAGUGGGGAAUAUUGCACAAUGGGCGCAAGCCUGAUGCAGCAACGCCGCGUGAGGGACGACGGCCUUCGGGUUGUAAACCUCUUUUAGUAGGGAAGAAGCAAAGUGUUUUACAUGGAGUGACGGUACCUGCAAAAAAAGCACCGGCUAACUACGUGCCAGCAGCCGCGGUAAUACGUAGGGUGCAAGCGUUAUCCGGAAUUAUUGGGCGUAAAGAGCUCGUAGGCGGUUUGUCGCGUCUGCUGUGAAAACUGGGGGCUCAACCCCCAGCCUGCAGUGGGUACGGGCAGACUAGAGUGCGGUAGGGGAGAUUGGAAUUCCUGGUGUAGCGGUGGAAUGCGCAGAUAUCAGGAGGAACACCAAUGGCGAAGGCAGAUCUCUGGGCCGUAACUGACGCUGAGGAGCGAAAGCAUG
rnacentral:rRNA from 1 species